rnacentral:rRNA from 1 species
AUGGUUGAAGAUUGUGAGUUGGUUCCUGAUGCUGGACUGACAGAAAAAAGGCUCAUGUUGAAUGAAGAAAAGGUCAGACCUAAGCUUUCAGGAACUGCAAACAAGUCUUGGUUCUUGGAUACUGGAGCUAGUAACCAUAUGACCGGUUGUGUUGAAAAGUUUGCUGAAUUGGACCGAAAGAUCAUAGGUUCAGUACGUUUUGGGGAUGGUUCAGUCGUUGGCAUUGAAGGGCGUGGGUCAGUCCUGUUCCUAGCUCAUAAUGGUGAGCACCAUCUCCUAACAGAGGUGUACUACAUCCCAAGAUUAAAGAGCAACAUUAUUAGUCUUGGGCAACUCGAUGAGUUUGGUUGCAAGUAUUCAGUGGAUGAAGGACUGAUGACAGUCCUCCACAAGGAGCGCAAGGUGCUAGCAAAAGUAAGAAGAGCACCAAACAAACUGUACAUUCUGAAUAUUGAGCAGUCUGAACCGGUGUGUCUGCUGUCGAGAGCAUUAGAAACACCCUGGCUAUGGCAUGCAUGUUUUGGGCACAUAAGCUUCCAUGCAUUGCGGUUAUUGUCCAGAGAGAACAUGGUGAUGGGUCUGCCAAUGAUCGAUCAAGUAGAUCGUCUCUGUGAGAGUUGUCUAGUCGCAAAGCAGAGGCGAGAUCCUUUUCCCGCUGAAGCUUCCUAUCGAGCUGACAAGGCACUGUAA